rnacentral:rRNA from 1 species
UACGAAGGGGGCAAGCGUUGUUCAGAAUUACUGGGCGUAAAGGGCGCGUAGGCGGCCGAUCAAGUCAGGCGUGAAAUUCCCGGGCUCAACCUGGGGGCUGCGCUUGAUACUGAUUGGCUUGAAUGCGGGAGAGGAUAGUGGAAUUCCCAGUGUAGAGGUGAAAUUCGUAGAUAUUGGGAAGAACACCGGUGGCGAAGGCGGCUAUCUGGCCCGUAAUUGACGCUGAGGCGCGAAAGCGUGGGGAGCAAACAGG